CCCUAUGGGGUGCAGCAGGCGAGAAAACUUUGCAAUGUGCGAAAGCACGACAAGGUUAAUCCGAGUGAUUUCUGCUAAAGAAAUCUUUUACCAGUUAUAAAACCACUGGUGAAUAAGGGGUGGGCAAGUUCUGGUGUCAGCCGCCGCGGUAAAACCAGCACCUCAAGUGGUCAGGAUGAUUAUUGGGCCUAAAGCAUCCGUAGCCGGUUUUGUUAGUUUUCGGUUAAAUCCAUAUGCUCAACAUAUGGGCCGCCGAAAAUACUGCAAAACUAGGGAGUGGGAGAGGUAGACGGUACUCAGUAGGAAGGGGUAAAAUCCUUUGAUCUAUUGAUGACCACCUGUGGCGAAGGCGGUCUACCAGAACACGUUCGACGGUGAGGGAUGAAAGCUGGGGGAGCAAACCGGAUUAGAUACCCGGGUAGUCCCAGCUGUAAACGAUGCAGACUCGAUGAUGCAUUGGCAUAUAGCCAGUGCAGUGUCGCAGGGAAGCCGUUAAGUCUGCCGCCUGGGAAGUACGUACGCAAGUAUGAAACUUAAAGGAAUUGGCGGGGGAGCACCACAAGGGGUGAAGCCUGCGGUUCAAUUGGAGUCAACGCCAGAAAUCUUACCCGGAGAGACAGCAGAAUGAAGGUCAAGCUGAAGACUUUACCAGACAAGCUGAGAAGAAGUGCAUGGCCA
rnacentral:rRNA from 1 species